AACGAACGCUGGCGGCAGGCCUAACACAUGCAAGUCGAAUGCUCCGCAAGGGGGAGUGGCGCACGGGUGAGUAACACGUGGGAACCUACCUUCUGGUACGGAACAACCAAGGGAAACUUUGGCUAAGACCGUAUACGACCUCCGGGUGAAAGAUUGAUCGCCGGAAGAGGGGCCCGCGUCCGAUUAGGUAGUUGGUGAGGUAACGGCUCACCAAGCCUUCGAUCGGUAGCUGGUCUGAGAGGAUGACCAGCCACACUGGGACUGAGACACGGCCCAGACUCCUACGGGAGGCAGCAGUGGGGAAUAUUGGACAAUGGGCGCAAGCCUGAUCCAGCCAUGCCGCGUGAGUGAUGAAGGCCUU
rnacentral:rRNA from 1 species